rnacentral:lncRNA from 1 species
GAGGAGGCCGCGUGGGGUGGGGCCCGGCGGGUACGCGCUCGCUGCGUCGACGUGCUGACGCCAGGACGCUCCGGCCGGUGUGUGUCGGGGUGUGUGUGUGUGUGUGUGUGUGUGUGGUGUGUGUGGUGUGUGUGUGUGUGUGUGGUGUGUGUGUGUGUGUGUGAGUGCGCGCGCUCGGAGUGUGUGUAUUUGUGUAUCGGCGGUCCCGCAGGUCCCGGAUGUUGCGGACAGUAUGAGGCGAGCGCAGGGGGACGGGGACCAGCAGCUGUCGCCGCCGCUCUCAGGUGAGUGGGGGGAGGAGUGUCGAGGGAGGGGGUUAU